rnacentral:rRNA from 1 species
AGAGUUUGAUCAUGGCUCAGAUUGAACGCUGGCGGCAGGCCUAACACAUGCAAGUCGAACGGUAACAGGAAGAAGCUUGCUUCUUUGCUGACGAGUGGCGGACGGGUGAGUAAUGUCUGGGAAACUGCCUGAUGGAGGGGGAUAACUACUGGAAACGGUAGCUAAUACCGCAUAACGUCGCAAGACCAAAGAGGGGGACCUUCGGGCCUCUUGCCAUCGGAUGUGCCCAGAUGGGAUUAGCUAGUAGGUGGGGUAACGGCUCACCUAGGCGACGAUCCCUAGCUGGUCUGAGAGGAUGACCAGCCACACUGGAACUGAGACACGGUCCAGACUCCUACGGGAGGCAGCAGUGGGGAAUAUUGCACAAUGGGCGCAAGCCUGAUGCAGCCAUGCCGCGUGUAUGAAGAAGGCCUUCGGGUUGUAAAGUACUUUCAGCGGGGAGGAAGGGAGUAAAGUUAAUACCUUUGCUCAUUGACGUUACCCGCAGAAGAAGCACCGGCUAACUCCGUGCCAGCAGCCGCGGUAAUACGGAGGGUGCAAGCGUUAAUCGGAAUUACUGGGCGUAAAGCGCACGCAGGCGGUUUGUUAAGUCAGAUGUGAAAUCCCCGGGCUCAACCUGGGAACUGCAUCUGAUACUGGCAGGCUUGAGUCUCGUAGAGGGGGGUAGAAUUCCAGGUGUAGCGGUGAAAUGCGUAGAGAUCUGGAGGAAUACCGGUGACGAAGGCGGCCCCCUGGACGAAGACUGACGCUCAGGUGCGAAAGUGUGGGGAGCAAACAGGAUUAGAUACCCUGGUAGUCCACGCCGUAAACGAUGUCGACUUGGAGGUUGUGCCCUUGAGGCGUGGCUUCCGGAGCUAACGCGUUAAGUCGACCGCCUGGGGAGUACGGCCGCAAGGUUAAAACUCAAAUGAAUUGACGGGGGCCCGCACAAGCGGUGGAGCAUGUGGUUUAAUUCGAUGCAACGCGAAGAACCUUACCUGGUCUUGACAUCCACGGAAGUUUUCAGAGAUGAGAAUGUGCCUUCGGGAACCGUGAGACAGGUGCUGCAUGGCUGUCGUCAGCUCGUGUUGUGAAAUGUUGGGUUAAGUCCCGCAACGAGCGCAACCCUUAUCCUUUGUUGCCAGCGGUCCGGCCGGGAACUCAAAGGAGACUGCCAGUGAUAAACUGGAGGAAGGUGGGGAUGACGUCAAGUCAUCAUGGCCCUUACGACCAGGGCUACACACGUGCUACAAUGGCGCAUACAAAGAGAAGCGACCUCGCGAGAGCAAGCGGACCUCAUAAAGUGCGUCGUAGUCCGGAUUGGAGUCUGCAACUCGACUCCAUGAAGUCGGAAUCGCUAGUAAUCGUGGAUCAGAAUGCCACGGUGAAUACGUUCCCGGGCCUUGUACACACCGCCCGUCACACCAUGGGAGUGGGUUGCAAAAGAAGUAGGUAGCUUAACCUUCGGGAGGGCGCUUACCACUUUGUGAUUCAUGACUGGGGUGAAGUCGUAACAAGGUAACCGUAGGGGAACCUGCGGUUG